UUGGAGGGCAAGUCUGGUGCCAGCAGCCGCGGUAAUUCCAGCUCCAAUAGCGUAUAUUAAAGUUGUUGCAGUUAAAAAGCUCGUAGUUGAAUUUCGGGGUUAGUAGAUUGGUCAUGCCUCUGGUGUGUACUGGUCUCACUGAUUCCUCCUUCCUGAUGAUCCGUAAUGCCAUUAAUUUGGUGUUUUGGGGAAUUUGGACUGUUACUUUGAAAAAAUUAGAGUGUUUAAAGCAAGCUAACGCUUGAAUACAUUAGCAUGGAAUAAUGAAAUAGGACGUUCGAUCCUAUUUUGUUGGUUUCUAGGAUUGACGUAAUGAUUAAUAGGGAUAGUUGGGGGGCAUUAGUAUUCAAUUGUCGGAGGUGAAAUUCUUGGAUUUAUUGAAGACUAACUACUGCGAAAGCAUUUGCCAAGGAUGUUUUCAUUAAUCAAGAACGAAAGUUAGGGGAUCGAAGACGAUCAGAUACCGUCGUAGUCUUAACCAUAAACUAUGCCGACUAGGGAUCGGAAGAUGUUAAUUUUUUAAUGACUCA
rnacentral:rRNA from 1 species